UACGUAGGGCGCAAGCGUUGUCCGGAAUUAUUGGGCGUAAAGAGCUCGUAGGCGGUUUGUCGCGUCUGUCGUGAAAGCUUGGGGCUUAACCCCAAGUCUGCGGUGGAUACGGGCAGACUAGAGGCAGGUAGGGGAGAACGGAAUUCCCGGUGUAGCGGUGAAAUGCGCAGAUAUCGGGAGGAACACCGGUGGCGAAGGCGGUUCUCUGGGCCUGUACUGACGCUGAGGCGCGAUAGCGUGGGGAGCAAACGGG
rnacentral:rRNA from 1 species